UACAGAGGGUGCAAGCGUUAAUCGGAAUUACUGGGCGUAAAGCGAGCGUAGGUGGCUUGAUAAGUCAGAUGUGAAAUCCCCGGGCUUAACCUGGGAACUGCAUCUGAUACUGUUAGGAUAGAGUAGGUGAGAGGAAGGUAGAAUUCCAGGUGUAGCGGUGAAAUGCGUAGAGAUCUGGAGGAAUACCGAUGGCGAAGGCAGCCUUCUGGCAUCAUACUGACACUGAGGUUCGAAAGCGUGGGUAGCAAACAGGA
rnacentral:rRNA from 1 species